rnacentral:rRNA from 1 species
AAAGGGUUGCAGUGAAAUGGUGGCUGCGACUGUUUAAUAAAAAACACAGCACUCUGCAAACACGAAAGUGGACGUAUAGGGUGUGACGCCUGCCCGGUGCCGGAAGGUUAAGUGAUGGGGUGCAAGCUCUUGAUCGAAGCCCCGGUAAACGGCGGCCGUAACGAUAACGGUCCUAAGGUAGCGAAAUUCCUUGUCGGGUAAGUUCCGACCUGCACGAAUGGCGUAACGAUGGCCACACUGUCUCCUCCUGAGACUCAGCGAAGUUGAAAUGGUUGUGAAGAUGCAAUCUCCCCGCGGUUAGACGGAAAGACCCCAUGAACCUUUACUGUAGCUUUGCAUUGGACUUUGAACCGACUUGUGUAGGAUAGGUGGGAGGCAGUGAAGCCGGGACGCUAGUUCUGGUGGAGCCAACCUUGAAAUACCACCUGGUUUGUUGAGGUUCUAACCACGGCCCGUGAAUCCGGGUCUGGGACCGUGCAUGGUAGGCAGUUUGACGUGGGGCGGUCUCCUCCUAAAGUGUAACGGAGGAGUAC